rnacentral:rRNA from 1 species
ACGUACACUCCUGCGGGAGGCAGCAGUGGGGAAUAUUGGACAAUGGGCGCAAGCCUGAUCCAGCCAUGCCGCGUGAGUGAUGAAGGCCCUAGGGUUGUAAAGCUCUUUCAUCGGUGAAGAUAAUGACGGUAACCGGAGAAGAAGCCCCGGCUAACUUCGUGCCAGCAGCCGCGGUAAUACGAAGGGGGCUAGCGUUGUUCGGAUUUACUGGGCGUAAAGCGCACGUAGGCGGACUAUUAAGUCAGGGGUGAAAUCCCGGGGCUCAACCCCGGAACUGCCUUUGAUACUGGUAGUCUUGAGUUCGAGAGAGGUGAGUGGAAUUCCGAGUGUAGAGGUGAAAUUCGUAGAUAUUCGGAGGAACACCAGUGGCGAAGGCGGCUCACUGGCUCGAUACUGACGCUGAGGUGCGAAAGCGUGGGGAGCAAACAGGAUUAGAAACCCCAGUAGUCCCA